UUGAGUUCCACGAGUUCGCCAUUUUCAGCUCUGUCAUUCAGAGACUGUUGGUUGGCUGAGCCUGGAGGAAAGUCACAGGGCUCCGAGACGGACCGGCCAUGGGAUUGGUGUCAUUUGAGGACAUAGCUGUGCGCUUCACCUGGCGGGAGUGGCAGGGCCUGGAUGCUUCCCAGAGGACCCUCUACAGGGAUGUGAUGCUGGAGAACUACAGCAACCUGCUGUUCCUGAAGCCCUGCAUGGCCAAGCCUAAGCUGAUCUUCAAUUUGGAAUGUGGCUCUGGGCCAUGGAGCCUAGCAGAAGCUUCAGUGCAGAGCUUCC